rnacentral:rRNA from 1 species
GACGAACGCUGGCGGCGUGCUUAACACAUGCAAGUCGAACGAUCAGGCGCGUAGCUUGCUGCUCGGAGUGUAUCAGUGGCCAACUGAUUAGUAACACGUUAACCUACCUACAUGAUCGGCUUAACUACCGCAAGCAAGUGCUACUAAUGGAUAGUAUUUUGAAUCUGUUGGUUGAAUAGUUUAGGAAGGUUUUGCUGUUUCUGAUUGUUGGGUCCGCGAUGGAUUAGCUAGUUGGUAGGGUAACGGCUUACCGAGGCCACGAUGCGUAGCCGACCUGAGAGGGUGGUCGGCCGCACUGAGAGUGAGACACGGUCCAGACACCUACGGGAGGCAGCAGUAGGGACUCUUCCGCGAAGGGCGAAAGCUUGACGGAGCAACGCCGCGUGAGUGAUGAAGGGCUUCGGAUCGUAAAACUCUGUUAUUAGGGAAGAACAAAUGUGUAAGUAACUAUGCACGUCUUGACGGUACCUAAUCAGAAAGCCACGGCUAACUACGUG